rnacentral:rRNA from 1 species
AACGAACGUUAGCGGCGCGCCUAACACAUGCAAGUCGCACGAGAAAGGGCUUCGGCCCCGGUAAAGUGGCGCACGGGUGAGUAACACGUGGGUAAUCUGCCCUCGAGCAGGGGAUAACAUUCCGAAAGGAGUGCUAAUACCGUAUAAGACCACGACCUCGAAAGAGGAUGCGGUCAAAGCUGGCCUCUAUACAUAAGCUAGCACUUGAGGAUGAGCCCGCGGCGCAUCAGGUAGUUGGUGAGGUAAUGGCUCACCAAGCCUAAGACGCGUAGCUGGUCUGAGAGGAUGAUCAGCCACACUGGAACUGAGACACGGUCCAGACUCCUACGGGAGGCAGCAGUGGGGAAUCUUGCGCAAUGGGCGAAAGCCUGACGCAGCGACGCCGCGUGAGUGAUGAAGGCCUUCGGGUUGUAAAGCUCUGUGGGGAGAGACGAAUAAGUGCAGCCUAAUACGUUGCAUGAUGACGGUAUCUCCUUAGCAAGCACCGGCUAACUCUGUGCCAGCCGCCGCCGUAAGAC